GGAAAUGUGUAAUCGUGUGAUCCUGCAUUACUGCAUUGUAUUGGUAAAUACUGUAAAGAAGAAAUGUGCACACGGCACGAAGCAGUAUCAGAACAAAUAUAUGUUAAUUCCUCUGUUUCCUAUGGACAUUUAUUAAUUGAAGAAAUAAAUGGUAUAAAGGAUAUUGACUUGAUCAACUAACAAACACGAGCACAUGCAGUGCGUAUUGCAGAGAAAAUUUCAAAUUCCAAUAAGAUAAUGGUCACACUACGUAGUCGGUAAAGAAGUAUUUUUUUGAGAAAAAAAUCGAAAUUUUAUGAUGGCCAGCAAGAUUACCUGACCUAAAUAUAAUAAAGAAUUUUUGGGGCGAGCUUCUUGCGAAAACAGUUUAUGAAAAUAGAAAUAUAAGACAAAAGAGAAAGAAGACCCUAUUUAAAUCGCAAUAAAAAAGAUGACAGCAAUUGUAAAAAAUAAAGAAUACGAAAUAUUAACAUAACAUUUUCUUUAAUAAAUAUGAGUAAAUAUUCAUUUUUCUGCAGCGUGAGCUAUCAUGUUGUCCGAAAAAAUUCUUGCAAUAUUUCUAAUUUUCCAAGAAAAGAUACUUAUUUUCUCUUCAGGACUAUAUAGUGGUACAUUAAAAACUAGUUGUUAAGUUAAUGAAAUAUACUUUUGUAUCUUUGUUAUUCAAUAAAGUUUUCCUAUUUUAUGUCAUGAGCUAUCUUUUUAUCCAAAAGUGUAUUAGAAGUAUAUGUACUUUACUUUAUUGCAGCUUCAUAGAUAUACAUCUUUAAUGAUUAUAAAUAGCAAAAAAUUACAUUCCACUAUGAUAAUGUUAAAUCGCAGAUGACAAACAUAAUUUUUAGAAAAUCACAAUUGUGUUCUGGGAAUUCCACGAUUUAUACUCUAUGUAAAUUAUACUUACUAGUAUAGUAUAGUAUAUUAAUUAUAUUACUAGUGGUCCUUAACAUCAGUAUUAAAUGAUUUCUUCUUAUAUUUAAAGUAUUAAAAAUGUUGGCUCAUGAAUUAAAAAAUUACAUAAGAAAUAAAUAAAUAUUAUAAAAAAUAAUACAUUGAUGAUCAUUAAAAAUAAAUAUAAGUAUUAAUAUUUUACACUUAAGUUAUAUAUGAUGUAAUUUUAAUAUUAUUUAUGGGAUGAUUAAUAUAAGAAACAUAUUUAUUGAUUUUGUAUGUAUUCAAAUAAGAUAUAAUGUAUAUGAGUAGCAUACAUGUACUUAUUAAACUGUUGUUUGAAAAAAUAUUAAUAUAAUAUUAUAAAAAUAUGAAUAAAAUAUUAAUAUAAUUAAUAUAAUAUUAUAAGUAUAUUAAAUAGAUUUUAUACCUUUAUACCAGGUCUCCAUAAGUGACGCAUAUUUAGACCUUCAAGAUCUAUUAAUAAACACCACUGCGAAACUGGAUGGCCAGAAACACCAGUUGCUUCUUCCAUAAGGACCAGUCCUUCUUCGCAAAUAUGUAGUACCUACAAUGACAAUAUUAAUUAUGAAUAUUGUGGAAACCUAUAAAAUAUAUAAAUAAUAUAAAUUAUUAUUUUUACACGAUGUAUAAUGCUACAUAUAAUAUUAUUAUACAAAUAAAACUUACCAGCAACAGCAAGU